rnacentral:rRNA from 1 species
AAUGAACGUUGGCGGCGUGGAUUAGGCAUGCAAGUCGUACGCAUAGCUUCGGCUAUGAGUGGUGCAAGGGUGAGUAAUGCGAAGGUAACCAACCCUGGUGUUGGGCAUAGCCGCGGGAAACUGCGGGUAAUUCCCAGCGACGUCACGAGAUGGCAUCAUCUUGUGACCAAAGGUGUGAUUCCGCUCUAGGACGGGCCUUCGUGGUAUUAGGUAGUUGGUGAGGUAACGGCUCACCAAGCCGACGAUGCCUACCGGGUGUGAGAGCAUGACCCGGCACACUGGAACUGAGACACUGUCCAGACACCUACGGGUGGCUGCAGUCGAGAAUCUUCGGCAAUGGGCGAAAGCCUGACCGAGCGACGCCGCGUGAGGGAUUGAAGGCCUUC